AGUGAACGCUGGCGGUGGGCCUAACACAUGCAAGUCGAACGGCAGCACAGUAAGAGCUUGCUCUUACGGGUGGCGAGUGGCGGACGGGUGAGGAAUACAUCGGAAUCUACUUUUUCGUGGGGGAUAACGUAGGGAAACUUACGCUAAUACCGCAUACGACCUACGGGUGAAAGCAGGGGAUCUUCGGACCUUGCGCGAUUGAAUGAGCCGAUGUCGGAUUAGCUAGUUGGCGGGGUAAAGGCCCACCAAGGCGACGAUCCGUAGCUGGUCUGAGAGGAUGAUCAGCCACACUGGAACGGAGACACGGUCCCAACUCCUACGGGAGGCAGCGGUGGGGAAUAUUGGACAAGGGGCGCAAGCCUGAUCCAGCCAGACCGCGUGGGUGAAGAAGGCCUUCGGGUUGUAAAGCCCUUUUGUUGGGAAAGAAAAGCAGCAGGUUAAUACCCCGCUGUUCUGACGGUACCCAAAGAAUAAGCACCGGCAAACUUCGU
rnacentral:rRNA from 1 species